rnacentral:rRNA from 1 species
GACGAACGCUGGCGGCGUGCUUAACACAUGCAAGUCGAACGGAAAGGCCCGGCUUUUGUUGGGUGCUCGAGUGGCGAACGGGUGAGUAACACGUGUGUAACCUGUCCUUGACUUUGGGAUAACUUCAGGAAACUGGGGCUCAUACCCGAUAUGAGCUCCUGCUGCAUGGGGGGGGUUGGAAAGUUUCGGCGGUUGGGGAUGGGCUCGCGGCUUAUGAGCUUGUUGGGCUGGUAGGUGCUUACCAAGGCUUUGACGGGUAGCAUGCCUGGGAGGCGUACCGGCCACACUGCGCCUGAGAUACGGCCCAGAAGCGAAUGGGCCGCAGCAGUGGGGAAUAUUGCACAAUGGGCCGAAGCCAGAUGUAGCAACGCCGCGUGCGGGAAGAGCGCCUUCGGGUUGUAAACAGAUUUCGACUGUGACGAGGCGAGAGUGACGGUAAUGGGUAAAAAAGCACCGGCUAACUACGUG